AGAGUUUGAUCCUGGCUCAGAACGAACGCUGGCGGCGUGGAUAAGACAUGCAAGUCGAGCGCUGAUUACGAGGUAGCAAUAUUUCGUAGUCGGAGCGGCGCAAGGGUGCGUAACACGUGGGUAAUCUGCCAUGAAGUUUGGAAUAACUUGCUGAAAGGCGAGCUAAUACCGGAUGUGAAGAUUGGGUGGCAUCAUCUGAUCUUUAAAGUUGGGGACCGUAAGGCCUGACGCUUCAUGAUGAGCCCGCGGCCUAUCAGCUAGUUGGUGAGGUAACGGCUCACCGAGGCUAAGACGGGUAGCUGGUCUGAGAGGACGACCAGCCACACUGGAACUGAGACACGGUCCAGACACCUACGGGUGGCAGCAGUCGAGAAUUUUUCACAAUGGGCGCAAGCCUGAUGGAGCGACGCCGCGUGGGGGAUGAAUGGCUUCGGCCCGUAAACCCCUGUCAUUUGCGAUCAAACCUCAUUAUUUAAAAGAUGAUGAGCUGAUAGUAGCGAAAGAGGAAGGGACGGCUAACUCUGUGCCAGCAGCCGCGGUAAU
rnacentral:rRNA from 1 species